rnacentral:miRNA from 1 species
CUGAUGAAAUCACUCUAUGUUCCU